rnacentral:rRNA from 1 species
GACAGCAGCCAUAUCAUCCUGCAAUUCACAACUGGCAACCCACUGAAGCUCAGCAGGUGUGAGCCUGGUCAGUACCUGGAUGGGAGACCUCCUGGGAAAAACUCAGGUUGCUGCAGGGA